ACGGGAGGCAGCAGUGGGGAAUAUUGCACAAUGGGCGAAAGCCUGAUGCAGCGACGCCGCGUGAGUGAAGAAGUAUUUCGGUAUGUAAAGCUCUAUCAGCAGGGAAGAAAAAUGACGGUACCUGACUAAGAAGCACCGGCUAAAUACGUGCCAGCAGCCGCGGUAAUACGUAUGGUGCAAGCGUUAUCCGGAUUUACUGGGUGUAAAGGGAGCGCAGGCGGUACGGCAAGUCUGAUGUGAAAGCCCGGGGCUCAACCCCGGUACUGCAUUGGAAACUGUCGAACUAGAGUGUCGGAGGGGUAAGCGGAAUUCCUAGUGUAGCGGUGAAAUGCGUAGAUAUUAGGAAGAACACCAGUGGCGAAGGCGGUUAGCUGGACAAUAACUGACGCUGAGGCGCGAAAGCGUGGGUAGCAAACAGGAUUAGAUACCCUGGUA
rnacentral:rRNA from 1 species